CCUCUUUAGCGACGAACCCAGCGACGAUUCGGUCAUACAACCGUCGUCUAUACUUUUAGUGUGACGCCCCCAAAAUAGGUAUACAACACCCAUUCUGAGUCGCCAAAAUACAUGGUAUAGAAAGCAAACUACAACUUUGACAAUACAGAUGUCGUGUAGAAUACGACAAUACAACUGUGAGUUUGAAUACAAAUAUUGUCUUCUAGACAAUAUACACACCCAAAUAAGUCCUCAUUAAUUAUUCAUACACUAUUUUACAGAAAUAGUGAGGACAGCUAAAACAUCUUCCUAGAAC
rnacentral:lncRNA from 1 species